UAGGGUUUGGGGCAAACAAAAUUACUCAGACGAUGAAGAAAUGAGGCAACGGAGGGAAGGGAUGUUUCUCAAGGGUGGUUGAACCCUCUCCGUCGCCUAUGAUUUUCGAUUUUGCCCCAUCUUUUAACCACCUUUGGCUUUGCUUUGCUUAGAGCAUUCACAUUCCAUCCAUCAUAUUCAACCAUAUCUAUAUCUAUAAUAAAUCUAUCUACUGUAUAAUAAAAGAAACCAAUUUUUGAACACGUGUAACUGGUUGUCAUCACCAUCACCACCACCACCGCCAACAUCGCAACUAUAUUAUCCUCAGGGACGAAUUGUGCAUUUUUCUCUUUAAAAGGGGCAAUGAUGAUGAAUGUCUGAUCGUCUGAGUGAAUCGGGGGUUGAGAUUUACCCAAUCUUGGCGGGGUAAUUUUCCGGUGGUAGAUGCCGCCGUGAUUAUUGCAGCCAUGGAGGUUUUAUCCUAUCCGUACCGGUUGAUUUUUUAACAGAUCUGAGCCUCAUUUUCUCCGUAACGAUUUUCUUUUUUUCAUGUUAAUUUUCUUUUUCUUGAUCACACACCGAUCUGAUUAUACCUUUUUUUUUAUUUCUGUUGCCGUUUAUGGUUUUUGAUCUAUUCGAUUGAUACAUUGAGUAAUUUUUUUUAUUUUAUUUUUGCUAAUCGUAUAUAAUUCUUCUGAGGUUUUUUUAAUCAGUAUUCAUAGUAUAUGACUCUACAUUUUUUUACUGGCUUUACUGUGCUUAUACAGUUGUUUUGCUAAAUUUGUCCAGUUAUGAUCAAUUUCUAAAGGGUCGUAUUAUUGACACACCUUGGAAAAUUAAAUCGACACAAUGCACCUGAGAAUCUGCAGCCUUUGCUGUCUAAUUCAUUUCUUUUGUUUAUUCUAAUUUGAUUUUUCAAACUCAAAUAAUUUGUGCAUUAUAAACUGACUGUUAGGUUUGUUCUCGGAUCAUACACCGAACUGGAUAGUUGACCGGUUUGACAACUGAUGGAGUGGCCUGCAAUAAUGGGUUUAAGUUGUGCGGUCUGUUUGAAGAUUUGAUCAUGGGUCUUAGUGGUUUCGUAAUAGUUAGAGAUGGAAGCGAUUGUGAUUUGCUCACUUCUGUUGCGGAGAAAGAUAUGUGACUGAGUCAUUACACCAAGAGAUCGAAGUCGCAAAAUCUUUAAUGCUUUGUAGGAUGUUUUGUAGUUGCAAAAGAUAUUAUGCAUAUUAUUUACUUGUGUAUUAUUUUGACAUGGCAUUUAUGAAGUAAUGAUAAAACGUAUUUUUUC
rnacentral:lncRNA from 1 species